rnacentral:rRNA from 1 species
GAUGAACGCUGGCGGCGUGCCUAAUACAUGCAAGUCGAGCGAACGGACGAGAAGCUUGCUUUUCUGAUGUUAGCGGCGGACGGGUGAGUAACACGUGGAUAACCUACCUAUAAGACUGGGAUAACUUCGGGAAACCGGAGCUAAUACCGGAUAAUAUUUUGAACCGCAGGGUUCAAAAGUGAAAGACGGUCUUGCUGUCGCGUAUAGAUGGAUCCGCGCUGCAUUAGCUAGUUGGUAAGGUAACGGCUUACCAAGGCAACGAUGCAUAGCCGACCUGAGAGGGGGAUCGGCCACCCUGGAACUGAGCCACGGUCCAGACUCCUACGGGAGGCAGCAGUAGGGAAUCUUCCGCAAUGGGCGAAAGCCUGACGGAGCAACGCCGCGUGAGUGAUGAAGGUCUUCGGAUCGUAAAACUCUGUUAUUAGGGAAGAACAUAUGUGUAAGUAACUGUGCACAUCUUGACGGUACCUAAUCAGAAAGCCACGGCUAACUACGUG